AGAGUUUGAUCCUGGCUCAGGACGAACGCUGGCGGCGUGCCUAACACAUGCAAGUCGAACGGACGAGGCCCCUUCGGGGACCGAGUUAGUGGCGGACGGGUGAGUAACGCGUGAGCAACCUGCCUUUCAGAGGGGGACAACAGUUGGAAACGACUGCUAAUACCGCAUGAUGCAGCGAGAUCGCAUGGUCUUGCUGUCAAAGAUUUAUCGCUGAAAGAUGGGCUCGCGUCUGAUUAGCUAGUUGGAGGGGUAACGGCCCACCAAGGCGACGAUCAGUAGCCGGACUGAGAGGUUGAACGGCCACAUUGGGACUGAGAUACGGCCCAGACUCCUACGGGAGGCAGCAGUGGGGAAUAUUGGGCAAUGGGGGAAACCCUGACCCAGCAACGCCGCGUGAAGGAAAAAGGCUUUCGGGUUGUAAACUUCUUUUACCAGGGACGAAGAACGUGACGGUACCUGGAGAAAAAGCCACGGCUAACUACGUGCCAGCAGCCGCGGUAAUACGUAGGUGGCAAGCGUUGUCCGGAUUUACUGGGUGUAAAGGGCGUGUAGGCGGAGCUGCAAGUCAGAUGUGAAAUCUGGGGGCUUAACCCUCAAACUGCAUUUGAAACUGUAGCCCUUGAGUAUCGGAGAGGCAGGCGGAAUUCCUAGUGUAGCGGUGAAAUGCGUAGAUAUUAGGAAGAACACCAGUGGCGAAGGCGGCCUGCUGGACGACAACUGACGCUGAGGCGCGAAAGCGUGGGGAGCAAACAGGAUUAGAUACCCUGGUAGUCCACGCUGUAAACGAUGAAUACUAGGUGUGGGGGGACUGACCCCCUCCGUGCCGGAGUUAACACAAUAAGUAUUCCACCUGGGGAGUACGACCGCAAGGUUGAAACUCAAAGGAAUUGACGGGGGCCCGCACAAGCAGUGGAUUAUGUGGUUUAAUUCGACGCAACGCGAAGAACCUUACCGGGAUUUGACAUCCUACUAACGAAGCAGAGAUGCAUUAGGUGCCCUUCGGGGAAAGUAGAGACAGGUGGUGCAUGGUUGUCGUCAGCUCGUGUCGUGAGAUGUUGGGUUAAGUCCCGCAACGAGCGCAACCCCUAUUGUUAGUUGCUACGCAAGAGCACUCUAGCGAGACUGCCGUUGACAAAACGGAGGAAGGCGGGGACGACGUCAAAUCAUCGUGCCCCUUAUGUCCCGGGCUACACACGUAAUACAAUGGCGGUCAACAAAGGGAAGCAAAGCCGCGAGGCAGAGCAAACCCCCAAAAGCCGUCUCAGUUCGGAUUGCAGGCUGCAACUCGCCUGCAUGAAGCUGGAAUUGCUAGUAAUCGUGGAUCAGAAUGCCACGGUGAAUACGUUCCCGGGCCUUGUACACACCGCCCGUCACACCAUGAGAGUCGGGAACACCCGAAGUCCGUAGUCUAACCCGCAAGGGAGGGCGCGGCCGAAGGUGGGUCUGAUAAUUGGGGUGAAGUCGUAACAAGGUA
rnacentral:rRNA from 1 species